rnacentral:rRNA from 1 species
UCCACCUCUUCCCAUUCCGAACAGAGAAGUUAAGCUCACCAUCGCCGAUGGUACUGCCCCACCAGGUGGGAGAGUAGGUAGCUGCCACUU